GUGCUUGCUUCCGCAGCACAUAUACUAAAAUUGGAAUGACAGAGAUUAGCAAGGCCCCUGCGAAAGGAUGACACUCAAAUUCAUGAAGCCUCACAUACCAGA